rnacentral:rRNA from 1 species
CAAGNCGAGCGGCAGCGGGUCCUUCGGGAUGCCGGCGAGCGGCGGACGGGUGAGUAAUGCCUAGGAAUCUGCCUGGUAGUGGGGGAUAACUCGGGGAAACUCGAGCUAAUACCGCAUACGUCCUACGGGAGAAAGCGGGGGAUCUUCGGACCUCGCGCUACCAGAUGAGCCUAGGUCGGAUUAGCUAGUUGGUGAGGUAAAGGCUCACCAAGGCGACGAUCCGUAGCUGGUCUGAGAGGAUGAUCAGCCACACUGGAACUGAGACACGGUCCAGACUCCUACGGGAGGCAGCAGUGGGGAAUAUUGGACAAUGGGCGAAAGCCUGAUCCAGCCAUGCCGCGUGUGUGAAGAAGGUCUUCGGAUUGUAAAGCACUUUAAGUUGGGAGGAAGGGCAGUAAGCUAAUACCUUGCUGUUUUGACGUUACCGACAGAAUAAGCACCGGCUAACUUCGUGCCAGCAGCCGCGGUAAUACGAAGGGUGC